ACGGAGCGGCGCUGGACGCCCUGGCCGCAGGACACGGAGCACUGCAGGAAGGGACACGAGGUGAGUGGAGCUGCCCAUCGCGGCCACCUUGGUAAGUUCAGGGGGGUCAGUCUCUGCUCUGGGCUCCGCGGCAUCGGUAGCGAUGCUCUAUAAAACUUCCAAGCGAGGCUUUUCAUUGAGCAAGGGAAAACUGGGAAUCUGAAGCCAGUGAGAAUAUUUGCUGUCGGCUUCAGUGGGGUCAGGACUUCCUGGACAGGAUUUUUAUUGAAAAAUCUGUUUUUAUUGCAAAAUAGCAGCUCUGUUAAACCACCUCGACAUGCCAGAGGCGGCCAGGCUCUGAGUAUUGCUCUGAGUGUUGCUUCUCAGGCACUGGUUCAAAAAAGUAAUAGUUGAAAAUACAUCAAAUGCCACGAACAGAGUGGGCUUUAAUGAAAAGCAAACUUGGAGAGUAUAGAAGAAACUGUGUAGCUGUAGAGAGGGAAAGGUGUGAUACAGCUGAGAUUUUUUUUCAGCAUGCAUCUAAACGUGCCCACGCACCAAGGCAGGGAAUACAGUGAGUUUUUGAAAACAAAUGUCUUUUUGAAAUUAACUGCAUUUCACAUUUCCUUCAUUGCACUGUGGGCACAUUUCUCCCGACUUCAAGGCACAGCAACAAAUGCCUGAAUUUUUCUGUUUCUCAGACAUCUUUAAAUUAUUAUCUAUACUGCAAUAUUAUUAACAGCUUAUUUUUUCUUUCACGCAACAUUUCUUAGUGUUGUGACUGCACACUAAAAUGUUUAGCAAUACUUAAUAUUCCCCUGGAACAGAUUCCUCCUGGCUAGACCUUAAAGCAAACUACAUAGAUUUGGAGUAAAGAGAAUUUGCAUUUGUAGAAGAAAGUUCAUAAAAAAUAAAGGUAUGUAUUAAAACCACAGCUGAAUUAACAACUAAUAUUAGUUAUUUAUAACAUCUAAUAUUACUUAUUAAUAAAUCAGGAACUAAGAAAACAAGUUCACAGCCUGUUAUUGCAAGGUCCACUAAAAUAAGACUUCUUAAGGCAUGGAAUGAAGUGGUGCAUAAUGGGGAAGCAAUUCCCUUUUCUAUAUUCCUCCAUAAUGCUCUUUGCCUUACUAUCCAAAUGCCCCAUAAAGCCAAGAAAACCAGAGAAAAGCUGACUGUGACUAUCUGUCUGGCUUCAGAUAUUCGUAGGAGGGUGGGAGUAUUUCUGAGUAGCUUUUGAAAGCAGCAGUGGGAUUUCUGUCACUAGUGAUGCAAAUGCUUCCCAUAUGCUGCUGCUUCCCUGGGAUUAACAGUGCUCUUUGUCCAAUGCAUUCCAUAGGGGACUCUUAAACUGAAUAAAGGCACAAACUUGGAGAAACAUAUACACCAGGAUGCCUACCAUGCUCUAAGAUAUCUUUUGAGUUGCAUUUAUCACCAACAUAAAAAGCCCAGUAAUUCCAUUUCCAGAAGGCAAAAACCUCCAACACCUACCUAAAGACUGAAACCAGGACAUGUUCAUCCUUAAGAUUUAUGCAUUUUGAAAACAACUCAGAAGGUGGCAAGAAGGCAGAGCCUGGAGAAUCAAAGCAAAAAGCAAACCAGCAGGUAUGUUAGCUGCAAGCUUUGUAGUGAAGCAACUAAUUUCAACCUCCCUCUGCAGGUUCACUGAACUUUUUCAAAUGUGACCACUUCUGGCAUGCAAACCCCAAGCAACUUCACUUUGAUUUCAGAUUAGUCUCCUCCAAAGAUUUAGGAAUCAAAGGGGUCUGGAAUCACGACACGAAUUUAAUAUGACAGUUUCAUGUAGAACAAGGCUCUUACUCAGCAUGAUGCACCCAAAAACUCAGCUUCCAUUUCUUUAUUACAUGCUACACCAUAAGCAUACUGGUUUAAUCCUUGAGGGCAAACACUGUUUUAACCAUCUCUCCAUAUAAAAUGUGCUUUCUUUUCAGAAUGGAGAAAACAUACAGAAAUGAGGCUUCAACCUUCAUUUUGGAGUCACUCCAUCAGUAUAUUUCCCAAGAAAUAUAUUACAGCUUAAGCUCUUCCCAGCCUAUAAAUACAUUGGAACCUCAAAAAUUUAUAUAUAUAGCAGAGCUCUGGAAGAGCCACUAGAAUAGAAAUUGGCAUAUACAUUGACACCUGUGAAUAUUUUAUAUUACAGCCCUACUUACAGCUCAUUCAGCCCACAAAAUCAGCGAGAGAGCAGUUUCUAAAUGAAAAAGUUCAGACCAAUGUGGAAAGAAAUGGAUGUAGCUCCAAAAGCCAGAUAUUGAUGCUUAAAAGUUUGUAUAAAUGAUGCCCUGAAAAAGGUUGUUUUCCUGCUGCGGGAGUGUUACAGAUUGACAAAAGAUUGCUGAGGUCCUGUUGGUCAACAGCUUUAAGAGCCAUUAAUGAUGCUCCUCUGAGAGGCUGGGCAGGGAUAGUGGCCUCUGAGUUUUCCCCAGCCCAGAUCAAGAUAGGCCAAAAACCCCAACAAGCAACAUCUAACCUUACACUGAAAACCAGAAGACAUAGUGUCCGUUGCAAUAAAAUAAAACUUCCACGAGCUACCCAGAUCCAUAAACUUCACUUCUUUUCUUUAGCAUCAACAGAAGAAAGAUCAAGCUAAUGCUACCCUAUUUUUACAAGCUUUCACAUUUCAUCAGAAGUUAAUUUUUUCAUUCUCUCUACUUCUCUCCCCAGACAACAAAAGUCAGCAGCAUGACAGAAAUGUCACAUCCUACAAAACCCAGUUCUAAACCUCUAGUAUUUUCAUCCACUUACUGUCUUUGGACUAAACACCAACACUGAUGCUUAAACAAAAAUUCAAGCGCUCCUUGAUAAACAGUCUUCAUGCAGGUUAUGCCACUGUACUGUGACAGCCAAAGUUAAAGAGUAAAUUUACAGCAUUGAUCAGGACUCUCUCAUGUCCCACAUCCUAAGCUGAUACAGCCCAGAGCAUCCUUCAUUUAAAAAAUACAUGGGAUGCCACUACUUAUCCUAAAGUAAGACUAACCACACUGUGCAACAAUGCAAGCACCUUUCUGGGGACCUGAAGGUGUUUGAUAAAUGCUUGAUCUCACAAACAAUUUGGUCCUAGUUAUUUCCAAAGUUAUUACUCCCCGACAAAAUGCUUAACUUUGGCGUGGAGCCUGAUUGUGACAUUUAUCUCGUGAUCCCAUGAUCAAACAAGUCUGCGUGCAAACCUUGGUGCACUCAGAGGUUGAGGCAUAAUUUGCUUAAUUUUUUUGAUACUUAAAUGUAAUUCCCAAGAUGCUGGAAUGAAUCAUUUCUAUGUCUGCCUUUAAUAUAGAUCAAAUUUAGGCAGCUGUGCAUUUUCAGAUCUAAACCACCCGUUUGCUUUCAUGCACAUUUGAGUUAUGAUCUCAUUUGCACUGACAGAAAAGAAAGGUUGAAUAAUCUAAUUUAACCAAGUAUCAGAGACUGAAAAUUCCUUUGCAAAGAGUCUACUUAAUAACUGCCAUCUAAUUCAUCUCAGGUAUUCAACUUUUAUCUGGCACAUAGAUUUUAAGCAUAUGUGAGCCACAUGCAAAGCAUAAUUUAAUAGUGGGCUGCAUCUCAACACCAUGUGAGUCCGGGAAUUGCUACACCCAACUAUCACCAUCAGCCUCAUCAUUUAUUUUGGACCCUGGAUAAACUUUGCAUUUCAUUAACAGGAUUCUUCGUGGCUGCAAAUGCUGCCUGCUUAUGGUACCUACCAAUAACAGUACCACAAUGAGGUAAGCUUUGACCUUGCCUCCCUCAAAACGUUUGGCAAAAUCACUGCCUUCACAUUCCUCUUUUUCUUGAACUUUUUUCCCCACACUCCCCAUAGAAGUACUGGGGGCAGAUGGUGGCUCUCUGGAAUAACAGCCUCACCUUAUCCGAGGUUUUCUGAGUCAACAGAAAAGCCACCAGAGGUUUUAAGCACCUCUGGGCCAGCCCUGAAGGUGUAGCCAGGUAGUGUAAGGAAUUUUUUCACUAAUCAGCUUCCUAGAGUCCAGGAUCACAUGCACUUGGGCAUGCCUGUGGUCAACUUGCCUCUGCCUCCAUUGAAGUGUGGGAAAAUGCUGUUUACAGCCUGUGAUUGAGGCACAACAGCAAAUGGCACCUCUGGAUGAACCUGGGAGGACAGCCAGGCACGGAGGAGGGUGUGAAAGCAACAAAUUGUUAUGUUUCUGUAAAAAAAAAAAAAAACACCAAAAAAGUUCGCGGUGCAUAAAAUAAUAGAGAAACAGUAUUUUGAAAAAUCAGCUGUAGCCAUCACUCUAAAACUCUAGCAAACCUUCCCCUUGUUAUUAUCUUUAUUAUCUCCUAAACCCACCAGAGUUGCACCUGGCACUUUACACGGAGAACAACAACAAAAGAACUUUCCUAAGAGCAUUAGGAUCAAAGCACUUAGCACAGAUUUAAGGGCUUUAUGUUUAUUGCAUGAUUAGUGUUAACCUGCCAAGAACUGGAGAUUGGCAUGCUGCUGAUAUUUUCAAAUAAAUAUACUGCCUAGUUUAAAUAAAUUCAAGGAAAAAGGUUUAAAUAAAUACAGCAGAAAUAUUUCCAUAUCAACUGUUUCCAUAAAGGUCAGAACACGAUGCUAAACAUCUGCAAUGCCUUGCUCUGCUCUGCUUGUGCUUUUGUUUCCACAAAAAAUUUGUUUUCUGUUUCGGAGUUUAGGAGAUGAUCAUUCUGUUUUACCAAGUGUGUGCAAAUUGCUUUAAAGUAACCCUUGAUCUCAUCGUUUUGGAGAGGAAGGUAUAUCUUGUUAAUUAAGACCUCUCUAAAAUAGAAAGGCUGCUACUAGAUGCAUAGGGCUGGCAGCAGGAAAAAAAAAACAAACAACAGAAUGUGUUCAAAAUCUCUUAAAAAUUUGUACAAAAUUUCUGGUGAAUUUCUGGGAGUGGGGUCAGUCCAGCACCAAGAGGACUCAAGAGCCCUGGGCACAAAUAAACAGAUCUCAGCAAGAAAAAGGCACCACAGAGCAGUCAAGAAGAAAUGGAAUGACUGCUCCUUGUAAACUUUGUGCACUGAAGGGGCAGCUCCACAAAGGGCAGAAGGGUACAUCCCAAGCAAGAGCCUGAGAACACUCUCCCCCAGAAGUGAAAAGUUGCAGAAAAUGCUGUCAGACCACUUUUCAGACCCACCAUGCAUCAGCCGACAACGAUUUGGGAGGUAUUUAAGACAAUGAAUGCAAGCUGUGGUGAUCACCCAAUGAAUUCCCAAAGAUAGGAAUGAUAGCUCAGCAAGGGCAGGGCUGGGAAGGAUUAGACUGAAAAUGGCUUUAUCAGAUUCUGCCAGGAGCAACUUUUUGGAGGAAAUUAAAAUCAAUCCUCGUAGAUUUAGACUGCCCCACAUUAAGGAUUUUAUGGAAAGUCAGCAGCUGUAAGUAAGCUCUGGUUCAUCCUUUCCAACAAUCUGAGACAAAACAUGUUGGAUGAAAUAAAGCAGAAAAGCAACAGAGCCCUCCAAUGCUUUACACCCGUUUUCCAAGAGGGCUGUGUUCCUGGAUGCCAGCAAACUCCUCCAACUACAAGCAAACCCAAGAAUGUACCCUCAUAGCUACCUUGCAGCAGCCUAUUAGUCUGUAUCACCUUUUACUACCACUAUCACUGCUGCUGUCAGAUACUGAAACCAUAUCCUGGUGACUUCUGUACCUCUGAAGUCUCUGAGCACAAAGUACAUCAACAGACACAUCAUCAAGGAAAGCCUGGAUCCUUCCUCACCAGCUGAACCUUUACCAGGAAUCUUAAAAUGUUGGAACCUUUGUGAGCUGUUCAGCAGCCGGGGCUCUGUGGCUUCCAAACCAAAUCAGCUUCACAACAGCAAGGUAUUUCAGCUGGCAAUUCCCUUGGCUUCAGUGAGACACGCUGAAAGCAAGGCUGCAGCACUUCAGGAGAUGUUUAGGAAAUGUUUAUUGCUGCUCUGAAGCCCUGUUUCUCCCACCAAUGUGUUUUAUCAUGGUCUUGUGCCCAUCUGCAUUGGCUGAGAAAUCUCUAAAAUUGGGUGGGGAUUCAUACAGGGCAGGAGUCACCCAGCUUGGCCUUCUUUUCCUCACAAACUAAGGAGCCAUGACUUAAGACACGUGGGUGCUGAGUGUGUAUGGUCAUGGUGAUUUUAGCUGGUGCAUGGCCAAAAAGUACAUGUGAUUCUUGUACAUUUAAAAGGGAAGAGUGGUCUCUAUUUAAGGGAGGGUAAAUGGACCAGAGACCUGAAGAAAACACACUAAAGCACUGCACUGCAGUUUUGAAAGAGGCUUUAGGAAUGUUGCAUCCAAAUGGACUCCUCAGAGAAAUGGGGUGAUUUAAAAAAAGGCAUGAAUAUUAGGGAUUUUGGAAUGUAUAGUCUGAAUGUGCUUGUAAGCAUUGUCCAGAGCCCCUGUGGAAUUGUUCUGAGGAGCCCUCGUAGAGCUGGAGCACAGCCCCCAGUCUGAACAGGAGCAGGCUUUGCCCCAGCAACCCCAAGGAGCCCUCAUUGCCCCAGACAUGGGCAGGAGGGAGCUUCCAUGCUGGCCUGCCCUGUCUCUGCAGUGCCCACAAGGUCUCCAUCCUCCAGAGGCUCUGCUCUUGGCUUGGAGCAGAGGCACAGAGCUUCCCAAGUCAUUAAUGCAAAAGGGAGAAAUCUUCUAAAAAAAUCACUAAAUCUUCACCUUCCCACCACCAAACUCAGCUGCAGGGACUGGUGUGUGGUCUCAGAUGAUGUCUUAUAACACAUAUAAAAAAAAAAAAAAAAAAAAA